rnacentral:rRNA from 1 species
AUAUCAGUCAUGCAUAGCAUAUCAAUAAGCGGAGGAAAAGAAACUAACAAGGAUUCCCUUAGUAACGGCGAGUGAAGCGGGAAGAGCUCAAAUUUGAAAUCUUCAAGGUUUUACCUUGACGAAUUGUAGUUUAAAGAAGUGUUUUCUGUUGAAGUUUUGGUAAAAGUUCUUUGGAAUAGGACAUCAUAGAGGGUGAGAAUCCCGUAUUUGACCAUUAUUUUCAGCUGUGUGAUACACUUUCAAAGAGUCGGAUUGUUUGGGAAUGCAGUCCAAAAUGGGUGGUAAAUUUCAUCUAAAGCUAAAUAUUGGCGAGAGACCGAUAGCGAACAAGUAUCGUGAGGGAAAGAUGAAAAGAACUUUGAAAAGAGAGUUAAACAGUACGUGAAAUUGUCAAAAGGGAAGCGUUUGACACCAGUGUUGUUUUCUCGAAAAUCAAUUAAAAAAUGGUGGAUUUUGUAUUGUAUUGAGACCUUAACAGCUUCACUGCUACAUCUUUUCCGUGCUUUUUUAAUGCACUUUUCGUUUAACAAGUCAACAUCAGUUUCUUUUGUUGUAAAAGGGUCAUUGGAAGGUGGCUUUCUUUUCGGAGAAAGUGUUUAUAGCCUUUGAUCUCUGCAAUCGGAGAGACUGAGGUCUGCAGCGUAGAUCCUUCGGGGUUAGAUACAUUUGUGCUAAGUUAUAACUUUUCAUAGACAACUUGUUGACUAUGUUUUAGUCAUGUAGCUUACUCGCUUAUGCUAUUUUACCUACGCUUAGGAUGUUGAAGAUGUAGCACAUCAU